GACGAACGCUGGCGGCGUGCCUAAUACAUGCAAGUCGAACGAGAGCAACCGGUGCUUGCACUGGUCAAUCUAGUGGCGAACGGGUGAGUAACACGUGGGUAACCUGCCCAUCAGAGGGGGAUAACAUCCGGAAACGGAUGCUAAAACCGCAUAGGUCUUCGAACCGCAUGGUUUGAAGAGGAAAAGAGGCGCAAGCUUCUGCUGAUGGAUGGACCCGCGGUGCAUUAGCUAGUUGGUGAGGUAACGGCUCACCAAGGCCGGGAUGCAUAGCCGACCUGAGGGGGUGAUCGGCCACAUUAGGACUGAGACACGGACCAAACUCCUACGGGAGGCAGCAGUAGGGAAUCUUCCGCAAUGGACGCAAGUCUGACGGAGCAACGCCGCGUGAGUGAAGAAGGUUUUCGGAUCGUAAAACUCUGUUGUUAGAGAAGAACAAGUGCUAGAGUAACUGUUAGCGCCUUGACGGUAACUAACCAGAAAGCCACGGCUAACUACGUG
rnacentral:rRNA from 1 species